rnacentral:tRNA from 2 species
AUUUCUAUUUAUAUAGUUUAAAUAAAACAUUAUAUUUUCAUUAUAAAAUUAAAUAACUUUUGUAA